GGUCCCAAGGGUAUGGCUGUUCGCCAUUUAAAGUGGUACGCGAGCUGGGUUUAGAACGUCGUGAGACAGUUCGGUCCCUAUCUGCCGUGGGCGCUGGAGAUUUGAGGGGAGCUGCUUCUAGUACGAGAGGACCGAAGUGGACAUUCCUCUGGUGUUCCGGUUAUCACGCCAGUGGUAUUGCCGGGUAGCUAUGAAUGGAAGGGAUAACCGCUGAAAGCAUCUAAGCGGGAAGCCUCACCCAAGAUAAGAUCUCCCUAGACUUUUAAAGUCUCUAAAGGUCCGUCGAAGACUACGACGUUGAUAGGCAGGGUGUGGAAGCACAGCAAUGUGUGAAGCUAACCUGUACUAAUUAACCGUGAGGCUUGAUCAUAUAACACCCAA
rnacentral:rRNA from 1 species